UACGUAGGUGGCAAGCGUUGUCCGGAAUUAUUGGGCGUAAAGCGCGCGCAGGCGGUCCUUUAAGUCUGAUGUGAAAGCCCACGGCUCAACCGUGGAGGGUCAUUGGAAACUGGGGGACUUGAGUGCAGGAGAGGAACGCGGAAUUCCAGGUGUAGCGGUGAAAUGCGUAGAUAUCUGGAGGAACACCGGUGGCGAAGGCGGCGUUCUGGACUGUAACUGACACUGAUGAACGAAAGCCAGGGGAGCAAACGGG
rnacentral:rRNA from 1 species